rnacentral:rRNA from 1 species
UACGUAGGGUGCAAGCGUUGUCCGGAAUUAUUGGGCGUAAAGAGCUCGUAGGUGGUUUGUCGCGUUGUUCGUGAAAACUCACAGCUCAACUGUGGGCGUGCGGGCGAUACGGGCAGACUUGAGUACUGCAGGGGAGACUGGAAUUCCUGGUGUAGCGGUGGAAUGCGCAGAUAUCAGGAGGAACACCGGUGGCGAAGGCGGGUCUCUGGGCAGUAACUGACGCUGAGGAGCGAAAAGCGUGGGGGAGC